AGUGAACGCUGGCGGUAGGCCUAACACAUGCAAGUCGAACGGCAGCACAGUAAGAGCUUGCUCUUACGGGUGGCGAGUGGCGGACGGGUGAGGAAUACAUCGGAAUCUACUUUUUCGUGGGGGAUAACGUAGGGAAACUUACGCUAAUACCGCAUACGACCUACGGGUGAAAGCAGGGGAUCUUCUGACCUUGCGCGAUUGAAUGAGCCGAUGUCGGAUUAGCUAGUUGGCGGGGUAAGGGCCCACCAAGGCGACGAUCCGUAGCUGGUCUGAGAGGAUGAUCAGCCACACUGGAACGGAGACACGGUCAAGACUCCUACGGGAGGCAGCAGUGGGGAAUAUUGGACAAUGGGCGCAAGCCUGAUCCAGCCAUACCGCGUGGGUGAAGAAGGCCUUCGGGUUGUAAAGCCCUUUUGUUGGGAAAGAAAAGCAGCAGGUUAAUACCCCGCUGUUCUGACGGUACCCAAAGAAUAAGCACCGGCUAACUUCGUG
rnacentral:rRNA from 1 species